GUUUAGUUGGAACUCUAGCGCGAUCCGACACGGCGCCUCGUGCAGCGGCUAAGUCCCGUUCAAGGUCACCCGCCAAGAUGGCGGCGCACACAGCCAUGAAGAACUGGGCAGCCUAGGCAGUUAUGCAGAGAUGAAGAGGCUUGCGCAGGAUCGACUAGCCUGGCCAGGUGCAUCAAAUCAUUUUUCUUACUGAUGGUGACGACAAUAAUAACAACAACAAACAAACAAAUGUAAUAUUGUUCCGGCAUACAAUCAAGUGCCGGCACGCCAGUCGGGAACGUUAGAGCAGAGUGGGCUGUGAAGAAGACGUCAGCCAACUGCACACGGACUGACCCCUCUAGGAUGACAACCCAAUGGCAGCGCCCUCAACACGAAGAGUACAUAAGUGCCACACCGCCUGGCCAUGGCCCAUUUGAAGACUAGCCAGUUCACCAACUUUUACUGGCAUCAAUAAUAGGCACAUGUAUAGCAGUGACUUAGGAAAUGUAUUUCUUCUCUUGUAUAAUGAAUUGUAUAUACUGAACAGAUUGCUUAUGUUGCACGUCGCCCUUUGCUUGUGAUACAUCAUUGUAAAUUUCUCAAAAUUAAGUAAUGUCAUUUAUUUUCUGUAAAUCAGAUUCAUUAAUACGAUUUACUUGAAUUGUUGUCUAUCGAUCGAAGAAGCAGAUUUCCUAGGCACCUCAUAUUUGACGAGUAGGCAGGAUACAACAAAUAUGAUCAUUCCCAUAUAGUUUUAUAUGUAAUAAAAGUACUGUUUGAUGAACUCCACUAAAGUGUGCCGAAGGAAGAUGAAUAAAAUACAU